AUUUGUUUUGGAUCUUAGAUACACAUAUAGUUUGCUUUUCCUUUAUAAACAAACUAUAUGUGUAUCUAAGAUUCAAAACAAAC